GAGCAAGAGUGUCGAUAAUUGAUGCUUAUUGCAUUGAAGGUUGGCAAAAUCAAUUCCUAAUUGCGAUUCUCCGUGCCUAUCAAAUUAUUUAGUUUUGAAUAUGGCCUCGAACAAGUCGCUACAUU